GUAAUUUUCCCUGAGAGUUCUUAUCGACGGGAGUAGUUGCGACCUCGAUGUUGAAUUAAGGUCUCUUUUAAGUGUAGCAGCUUAGUGAGUGG
rnacentral:rRNA from 1 species